rnacentral:tRNA from 1 species
UCCCUGGUGGCUCAGCAGUAAAGCAUCUGCCUGCAGUGCAGGAGCUGCAGGAGACUUGGGUUUGAUCCCUGGCCUGGGAA